CUCUCUGCGUCCAACGGUAAACUGACAAUAUUAACUGUCUUUCGGUUGAGGGAAUCCCCGAAUGCUACAAAUGGACAAUUUCGCGUGACAAGUCGACUUGAUGAGACAUACUCGCGUUUUUUGAAUGUUGCAUCGAACUCACGAAGAUAAUUUAUUGUUCGAUGUAUCAAAUUUGACUCGUUGACACUUGAUCCCAUCUCUACUUAACACCUGUUCCAGCAUCUGAGCGCUUUUCCUUCACGCACGUGGUCAUCAAUCCCCGAGACGUGAUCCCAACCUUGACUUAUUGAUCUAAUCUCGCGAUCCGAAACACGUUUUACGUUUCAAGACGAUUUCAACAAUUAACAACGGGGAACUCGAAAAACACUUUAAGAUUCUCAUAGAUUUUUCUUCUAUUUUUCUUCUACCGGGUGCGUUCCUGGUAAUUGUGGCUACCGAGACGAUGGAGAUAAAUCACGCUCGAUGCAACACGACGCAAUUAUUCGCGACAACUCGGCACAACCGUGGAUUGGGUCCGCGUGGAUCGUACUCGGCGCUCCUCGAGGAUGCACGGUGCUAUCAAGAUCACCGGCUCAACUUCCGGUGUCCCGAUCAUUACGCGCAUAGGUACUGCAAUUCGAUCCACGAGGUCGUAACCGUACUGGAAUAUCACUGAUCAUAGCAAAGAAGAAAAAAGAAUAAA